UGCGCGUAAUCUCGCAACGUCGCAACCUUGCAUGGCAACAGUGGAUUUCUUGAAGUGCAGCGACAUUCUAUGGCAGCGAACAAUGUGUAUCCACAUAACCUGUAAUAAGUUUUUGUUCGGUGCAGAAACAACCAUGGAAAACAUUAUAUGGAGAAUAUCUCAUUUUGCAUACGAGUAUUUCGCUGAAAAAGAAAAUUCUGUGAAAUCAACAUUUUGGGCUACAUAGUCGUUGUUAAAGUCAACUCUGUUAAUAUAAAACAGCAUAGAUAUAAUCUAAGUACACCAAGUUCUCAAGCAAAAAAUAUAGGUUAUGUUUCCCAGAAAUCAAAUAUAUUUACAAGAGAAAACUUACGAAAAUUUUUAACAGAGGCCCGUGAUUAAUGUACCUAAUGUCAAAGGUAUAUUUUUUAUUCGAAGUUGUAGGAGUAUGCGGAAUGGAAGAAUUUGAACAAUUUUCUUGUAUCUACAUAACCUAUAAUAAGCUUUUAUUAUUAUUACAGAACAGAUUAUUAGCUUACAUGCCCAUUUUAAAUGAAAAAAGAUCUGUAGCAAUUGCAAAAUAGAGAUGGAUAGCAAUAAUAACAAGCAGUUUACAUGCAUUCGACCGAACUUGCAAAAACUGGCAGAUAAUAUAUCAAAUUUAUUACCUAAAAACUCAGCCACAGUUUAUGAAAAGCGGUAUGAAUUUUUUUUUUGCGCAGAAACAACCAUGCAAAAUAUAUGGAGAACACCUCAUUGCAUACGAGUAUUUCGCUGAAAAAGCAAAUUCUGUGAAAUCUUUAACACUUUGGGCUGCAUAGUCGUAGUUAAAGUCAACUCUGUUAAUAAGAAACAGCAUAGAUAUAUCUAAGUACACCAAGUUUUCAAGCAAAAAAUAUAGGUUACAUUGCCAAGAAAUCAAAUAUAUUUACAAGAGAAGACUUACCAAAAUUUUUAACAGAAGCCCGUGAUUAAAUGUACCUGAUGUUAAAGGUUUAUUUUUUAUUAGAAGUUGUAGGAGCAUGUGGAAUGGAUAAAUUGAAAAAUAAUGACGGCAUUCAAGACAAAAACGAUACGCUAAUAAUUAAAAUUCCAACGUCUAAAACUGGCAAAGCACGAGAAUUUACAAAUAUGUGUAAAAAUAUUUAUCCAAUUGAAAUAUAGUAAAAAUACCUAAUUUUAAGACUGCACCAUACACCAGACAAAUCAUUAUUUAUACAUUACAUUUGGAUAGUCAAUGCAGCAGCUGCUGCAUUGUACAAAUAUACCUGCAAACACACUGUAACAAAUUAUGCAGACACCUCUUUUGACUAAAAGAUAUAUAUUUAACUUUAUCCAUACGUUGUCAACUUUGUUAAUAAUUGCAAUCUCUAACUUCAUAAGAAAUAUGAAUAAUCUACUUUGGUGUUUUAUAGUAGUAUUAAAUGUUCAUAGAAUAUAAUUGCACUUACUACGAAGUAAGCUUUCCUAGUUUUAAGUUGUUUUCUUUUCUCUUUGAUUAUCUUAAUUUCUUCAGCCUCUAUGUGGCUGUUUUAAUUCCAAAAAAUUAUUUCUGAAUAAACUGAUUCAUACCACCUUUUCUUUCUUUUACUCGAAAACAGUUUAAACUAUAACUCCAAAUAUUUACCUACUUUAAAACGUGUCAAGCAUUCGCUUGUUGUAAAUGAUGCAACCAUAAAUACAAAUUUGAACACUGAUAUGACAGGUUUGAGGCUAGGAUGUGGUUUUCAUAUUCUCCCAUUACUUGUUGCCUAAAUCUGGCGCGAGGCC